AGUGAACGCUGGCGGUAGGCCUAACACAUGCCAGUCGAACGGCAGCACAGUAAGAGCUUGCUCUUACGGGUGGCGAGUGGCGGACGGGUGAGGAAUACAUCGGAAUCUACUUUUUCGUGGGGGAUAACGUAGGGAAACUUACGCUAAUACCGCAUACGACCUACGGGUGAAAGCAGGGGAUCUUCGGACCUUGCGCGAUUGAAUGAGCCGAUGUCGGAUUAGCGAGUUGGCGGGGUAAAGGCCCACCAAGGCGACGAUCCGUAGCUGGUCUGAGAGGAUGAUCAGCCACACUGGAACUGAGACACGGUCCAGACUCCUACGGGAGGCAGCAGUGGGGAAUAUUGGACAAUGGGCGCAAGCCUGAUCCAGCCAUACCGCGUGGGUGAAGAAGGCCUUCGGGUUGUAAAGCCCUUUUGUUGGGAAAGAAAAGCAGCAGGUUAAUACCCCGCUGUUCUGACGGUACCCAAAGAAUAAGCACCGGCUAACUUCGUG
rnacentral:rRNA from 1 species